rnacentral:rRNA from 1 species
GGGAUGAACGCUGGCGGCGUGCCUAACACAUGCAAGUCACGGGGGCCCAGCAAUGGGCAACCGGCGAACGGGUGCGUAACACGUGAGCAACCUACCGAAAUGAGGGGGAUAGCCGGCCCAACGGCCGGGUAAUACCGCAUACGCUCGAGACCAGGCAUUUGGACUCGAGGAAACCUCCGGGGCGUUUCGAGGGGCUCGCGGCCUAUCAGCUAGUUGGUGAGGUAACGGCUCACCAAGGCGACGACGGGUAGCUGGUCUGAGAGGAUGGCCAGCCACAUUGGGACUGAGAUACGGCCCAGACUCCUACGGGAGGCAGCAGUGGGGAAUCUUGCGCAAUGGCCUAACGGCUGACGCAGCGACGCCGCGUGAGGGAUGACGCUCUUCGGAGUGUAAACCUCUUUUGCCUGAGACGAAUUGUCAGCUUUAGCUGAUUUGACUGUAUCGGGUGAAUAAGCACCGGCUAACUCCGCGCCAGCAGCCGCGGUAA